CCUACGGGAGACAGCAGUAGGGAAUCUUCCACAAUGGGCGAAAGCCUGAUGGAGCAACGCCGCGUGGGUGAAGAAGGUCUUCGGAUCGUAAAACCCUGUUGUUAGAGAAGAAAGUGCGUGAGAUUAACUGUUCAGGCUUCGACGGUAUCUAACCAGAAAGCAACGGCUAACUACGUGCCAGCAGCCGCGGUAAUACGUAGGUGGCAAGCGUUAUCCGGAUUUAUUGGGCGUAAAGGGAACGCAGGCGGGCUUGUAAGUUUGAUGUGAAAGCCUUCGGCUUAACCGGAGUAGGGCAUUGGAAACUGGGAGACUUGAGUGCAGAAGAGGAGAGUGGAAUUCCAAGUGUAGCGGUGAAAUGCGUAGAUAUAUGGAAGAACACCAGUGGCGAAGGCAGCUCCCUGGUCUGUAACUGACGCUGAGGUUCGAAAGCGUGGGUAGCAAACAGGAUUAGAUACCCGUGUAGUC
rnacentral:rRNA from 1 species